GAGCGCGUAGCAAUACGAGCGGCAGACGGGUGAGUAACGCGUGGGAGUCUACCCAACUCUACGGAAUAACUCAGGGAAACUUGUGCUAAUACCGUAUACGCCCUUCGGGGGAAAGAUUUAUCGGAGUUGGAUGAGCCCGCGUUGGAUUAGCUAGUUGGUGGGGUAAUGGCCUACCAAGGCGACGAUCCAUAGCUGGUCUGAGAGGAUGAUCAGCCACACUGGGACUGAGACACGGCCCAGACUCCUACGGGAGGCAGCAGUGGGGAAUAUUGGACAAUGGGCGCAAGCCUGAUCCAGCCAUGCCGCGUGAGCGAUGAAGGCCCUAGGGUUGUAAAGCUCUUUCACCGGUGAAGAUAAUGACGGUAACCGGAGAAGAAGCCCCGGCUAACUUCGUGCCAGCAGCCGCGGUAAUUGGAAGGGGGGCUAGCGUUGUUCGGAAUUACUGGGCGUAAAGCGCACGUAGAGCGGAUAUUUAAGUCAGGGGUGAAAUCCCGGGGCUCAACCCCGGAACUGCCUUUGAUACUGGGUAUCUCGAGUCCGAGAGAGGUGAGUGGAAUUCCGAGUGUAGAGGUGAAAUUCGUAGA
rnacentral:rRNA from 1 species